rnacentral:precursor_RNA from 13 species
ACUGAGAGGCACUAGCAAGGCCUGCCCGACACUCUUUCCCUGUUGCACUACUGUGGGCUACUGGGAAGCAGUGCAAUGAUGAAAGGGCAUCGGUCAGGCCCUUCUCGCUGUCCACAGUGC